UACGGGGGGGGCAAGCGUUGUUCGGAAUUACUGGGCGUAAAGCGCUCGUAGGCGGCCAACUAAGUCAGACGUGAAAUCCCCAGGCUCAACCUGGGAACUGCGUCUGAUACUGGAUGGCUUGAAUUCGGGAGAGGGAUGCAGAAUUCCAGGUGUAGCGGUGAAAUGCGUAGAUAUCUGGAGGAAUACCGGUGGCGAAGGCGGCAUCCUGGACCGACAUUGACGCUGAGGAGCGAAAGCUAGGGGAGCAAACGGG
rnacentral:rRNA from 1 species